GUGUUCUUGCUUCGGCCACACAUGUGCUAAAAUCGGAACGAUUCAGAGAGGAUGAGCAUGGCCCCUGAGCAAAACACUCAAAUUCGUGAAGCAGUCCAUAUUUUU